GAUUAACGCUGGCGGCGUGCCUAACACAUGCAAGUCGAACGAAGUGGCGGACGGGUGAGUAACGCGUGAGUAACCUGCCUUAGAGAAGGGGAUAGCCUUUGGAAACGCAGAAUAAUACCCUAUACUCUAAGAUGGACUUGCGUCUGAUUAGGUAGCUUGUGAGGUAACGGCCCACCAAGACAGCGAUCAGUAGCCGGCUUGAGAGAAUGUACGGCCACAUUGGGACUGCGACACGGCCCAGACAUUACGAGAGGGAGCAGUGGGGAAUUGUGCACAACGGGGGAAACCCUGAUGCAGCGAGGCCGCGUGAUUUAGAAGGCCUUCGGGUUGUAAAAAUCUUUUCUAUGGGAAGCAGUACCAUAGGAAUAAGGACCGGCUAAUUACGUGCCAGCAGCCGCGGUAAUAC
rnacentral:rRNA from 1 species